ACCUGAUCUUACAGGUGAUGCUUGGUAGGAAAUGUGAAGUGACCUGUUGGAGAGGUGGUUCUGAGGACUCAAGGGCCAAGAGAUGGCUGACCUGACUGGUGACUCAGAUAACCAACUAGUGCGUGAGGAUAAAAAGAGGAUUCCAUGUCCUUUGCCUCCUAUCUACCGUGGAGGAUGUGUGAAAUGAAGUGCUAACAUGAGGGCACUGGAGAAACUUCCAGGGAAACCCCUUUCUUCUCAGGACCUCUGACAAGAUUCAAAGAACUCUGAGGUCCAAGGGGAUGGUGGAGCCACCGGGCAGAAGGUGACUAUGUCCUGAAUUACCACAUGAAGACACUUGGCAAACGCCUGGACAGUGCCAUAAGUAUGCAAUAAACUUCUCUUGUGUUAAGUCA